AGAUGCAGCAACCAACAAAACAUGACCCAUGCUGCAAGACAUGGAAAGUAUAUUGAGGCUUUGUGAACAUUUUCCUGAAUAGUGUGAUAAUCCUUAUAAAAGAAGACAACAGACAAAUCUCUCUUUAAGAUAACAAGCAACUUUUGAUAUACAAAGAUUGAAUAAUAAUACUAUGCGGCAACAGACGUGCAAGACAGAAAAAGUACUGUUGCAGAGCAAGACAAGGAAGAGAAACCAAUAUAAUUAAUUUUGUUUAAUAUAGGCAAUUUUAUUUUAAUUAAAUUUGUGAUGCCUAGAAUAGAAUACAGAAGUGUAGCUUGAACAUCCUGCUGAAUAUUGCAUUGCCGUAAUCCUGGUGAAAGAGAACAUACAGGGGUUGUAUUAUUUUGCAGCAUCAAUUGCUUCAUUCUCAAAAAAAUGUGUAUAUUGUACAGAAGAUAUGAACUGGCUAAUUACAAUAUGACAAGAGAACUGGAAACCUACUAUAAUUUAUUAAUAUCUAUUAUAUAAGCCUAUAUAAUGAAUUGUUGAUGCCUAAUAAUUUACAUUAUGUAAUUUUGGUUAUGGAAAUAAAAAAUAUAAGUAGUGUGUUGUGUCGUUGCUAUUGAAGUUUGAAGACUGAUGGAUGCAGGUAAGUUAUGAAAAGUAGUUGCAGCAUCAAGACAACAAUUGCUUCAUUCUGAAAACUGAUUAUAUUGUACAGAAGAUAUGAGCUGGCUAAUUACAAUCAGAAGAGAACCAGAAAGCUACUAUUAUUUAUUAAUAUAAGCCUAGAACAUUUUGAUAUUCUAUAUAAUUUACAUUGUGAUUUUGGUCAUUAAGAUAAUACAGUUAAA